rnacentral:rRNA from 1 species
AGCGCAGGCGGGAAGACAAGUUGGAAGUGAAAACUAUGGGCUCAACCCAUAAAUUGCUUUCAAAACUGCUGGCCUUGAGUAGUGCAGAGGUAGGUGGAAUUCCCGGUGUAGCGGUGGAAUGCGUAGGUAUCGGGAGGAACACCAGUGGCGAAGGCGACCUACUGGGCACCAACUGACGCUGAGGCUCGAAAGCAUGGGUAAGCAAACA